UUCAGUAUUAUCGGUAGUGAUUUAAUAGAGUAGUAGUCCCAUUCAAGUUUCUUAGCUCAAUUCCUAUUGGUACUUGUUGCAUUCUUAGAAGCAGAAGCUGUAGCUCGACUAUUGUAUGCCCUAGUUACAUUCCUUCCAGUAAUAGCUCAGUCUGAAUUAGUAGCUCAAUGCUUGGAAGCAUUAGUGGAUUUCCUAUUUCUUAGUGAAAGUCGAGGUAGCACCUG
rnacentral:lncRNA from 1 species